CAGUCGCCGCGGUAAUACGAAGGGGGCUAGCGUUGCUCGGAAUCACUGGGCGUAAAGGGUGCGUAGGCGGGUCUUUAAGUCAGGGGUGAAAUCCUGGAGCUCAACUCCAGAACUGCCUUUGAUACUGAAGAUCUUGAGUUCGGGAGAGGUGAGUGGAACUGCGAGUGUAGAGGUGAAAUUCGUAGAUAUUCGCAAGAACACCAGUGGCGAAGGCGGCUCACUGGCCCGAUACUGACGCUGAGGCACGAAAGCGUGGGGAGCAAACAGGAUUAGAUACCCCAGUAGUCCCUGUCUCUUAUAA
rnacentral:rRNA from 1 species